rnacentral:rRNA from 1 species
AGUGAACGCCGGCGGCGUGCUUAACACAUGCAAGUCGAACGAGAACGGAUUAUAGCUUGCUAUAAUUGUCAGCUAAGUGGCGCACGGGUGAGUAAUGUAUAGGUAAUAUGCCUCUUACUAAGGGAUAACAAAUGGAAACGUUUGCUAAUACCUUAUACUCCUUAUUAACAUAAGUUAAUAAGGGAAAGAUUUAUUGGUAAGAGAUUAGCCUGUAUUGUAUCAGUUAGUUGGUGGGGUAAUGGCUUACCAAGACUAUGACACAUAACUGGUUUGAGAGGAUGAUCAGUCACACUGGAACUGGGACACGGUCCAGACUCCUACGGGAGGCAGCAGUGGGGAAUAUUGCACAAUGGACGAAAGUCUGAUGCAGCAACGCCGCGUGGAGGAUGACACAUUUCGGUGCGUAAACUCCUUUUAUAUGAGAAGAUAAUGACGGUAUUAUAUGAAUAAGCACCGGCUAACUCCGUGCCAGCCGCCGCGGUAA